AGCAGGGUCCAUUUUCAUCAGUGGAAGGAAUGGAGGUGGGGAGGGGUCCUCCUCUGAGAUAACUAGUCUGGAGCCCAGCGAAAUCACUUGAGUCUAGACGUUUAAAAAAAGAAAAUAAUAAUACAUUUGAAGAUGGAGAUAAAGGGCCGGAGGUGAAGGACGGUGCCCUUACAAGGAGAGUAAGUGCCACCUCAUCAGUGCCACCCUCAUCUACCAGAGAGCUCUCCCUCUCUCCAUGGGCACACAGAGAAGAGGCCGUGUGAGGACACAGUGAGAAGACAGUCAUCUGCAAACCAGGAAGAGAGUCCUCAGCAGAACCCAGCCCGGCCGGCACCUUGAUCUUGGACUGCCAGACUCUGGAACUGUGAGAAAAUAAACAUCUGGUUUUGUUUGUU